AUGUUGCGAUGGCUGAUCGGGGGAGGCCGAGAACCGCAGGGACUGGCCGAGAAAUCUCCUUUACAGACAAUAGGUGAAGAACAAACCCAGAAUCCCUACACUGAACUGCUAGUACUGAAGGCUCAUCAUGAUAUUGUACGAUUUCUGGUACAGUUAGAUGACUACAGACAGGGGAAAAACUUUUAGAACUGAAUGGACACACUCAAAAGAUAACAGCUAUUAUUACAUUUCCUUCCUUGGAAUCUUGUGAAGAGAAAAAUCAACUCAUCUUGACAGCCUCUGCUGAUAGAACAGUUAUUGUGUGGGAUGGUGAUACUACCAGACAAGUUCAGAGAAUAUCAUGCUUCCAGUCUACUGUAAAGUGUUUAACUGUUCUUCAGAGACUAGAUGUUUGGCUUUCUGGUGGGAAUGACCUGUGUGUGUGGAACCGAAAAUUAGAUCUCCUGUGUAAGACUAGCCACCUUUCUGAUACAGGUAUUAGUGCUUUGGUUGAAAUACCUAAGAACUGUGUUGUGGCAGCAGUUGGCAAAGAACUGAUAAUUUUCAGGUUGGUAGCACCCACAGAAGGAUCACUAGA
rnacentral:lncRNA from 1 species